rnacentral:rRNA from 1 species
AUGACGCUGGCGGCAGGCUAACACAUGCAGUUUAAGCGCGAAAACACUUCGGUGUGAGUAAGCGGCGGACGGGUGAGUAACGCGUAGGAAUCUACCUAGUAGUGGGGGACAACUCGGGGAAACUCGAGCUAAUACCGCAUACGCCCUACGGGGGAAAGCGGGGGACCUUCGGGCCUUGUGCUAUUAGAUGAGCCUGCGUUGGAUUAGCUAGUUGGUGGGGUAAAGGCCUACCAAGGCGACGAUCCAUAGCUGGUCUGAGAGGAUGAUCAGCCACACCGGGACUGAGACACGGCCCGGACUCCUACGGGAGGCAGCAGUGGGGAAUAUUGCGCAAUGGGCGAAAGCCUGACGCAGCCAUGCCGCGUGUGUGAACGAAGGCCUUCGGGUUGUAAAGCACUUUCAAUUGGGAGGAAAGGUUCACGGUUAUUAACCGUGAGCUGUGACGUUACCUUUAGAAGAAGCACCGGCUAACUCCGUGCCAGCAGCCGACAGAGUAAUACGGAGGGUGCAAGCGUUAAUCGGAAUUACUGGGCAGUAAAGCGCGCGUA